AAGAGUUCACAGAGGAAGAAUUAAUAAAUGGGGUUGAUUUAAAAGGAAGUGAGUAUAGAGCUGUCACAUGAAAUGUAAAUUAUAAGCAAUUUUUUUGUAUUAACCUACUAGAGCAAUGAAUUAAACAUUGUGAUGUAUUUUUAUUAACGUUUCUAGAAGUUUAAAUAUCUUAAUUUACGUUCCGUUGGCAAAGUAUUUAUGGAGUUAAUUGUAGCUCAAUGUUUUAUUUUUAUUUUUUUGCUAUGAAUUGUAACUCAAUAUAAACUAGUUGAAUUCCAAAUAGUGUAUGUAUUAUUCCUUGA
rnacentral:lncRNA from 1 species